rnacentral:rRNA from 1 species
AGCAGCCGCGGUAAUUCCAGCUCCAAUAGCGUAUAUUAAAGUUGUUGCAGUUAAAAGCUCGUAGUUGAAUUUUGGGUCUGGCCGGGCGGUCCGCCCUCUGGGUGAGCACUGUUCCGACGCCGGGCCUAUCCUUCUGGUGAGUCGGCAUGUCCUUUAUUGGGUGUGCCGGGGAACCAGGACCAUUACCUUGAAAAAUUAGAGUGUUCAAAGCAGGCGUAUGCUCGGAUACAUUAGCAUGGAAUAAUGAAAUAGGACGCGUGGUGCUAUUUUGUUGGUUUCUAGAACCGCCGUAAUGAUUAAUAGGGAUAGUUGGGGGCAUUAGUAUUCAAUUGUCAGAGGUGAAAUUCUUGGAUUUAUUGAAGACUAACUUCUGCGAAAGCAUUUGCCAAGGAUGUUUUCAUUAAUCAAGAACGAAAGUUAGGGGAUCGAAGACGAUCAGAUACCGUCGUAGUCUUAACCAUAAACUAUGCCGACUAGGAAUCGGGCGAUGUUAUUCUCAUGACUCGCCCGGCGCCUUAUA